rnacentral:rRNA from 1 species
GAUGAACGCUGGCGGCGUGCCUAACACAUGCAAGUCGAGCGAACGGACGAUAAGCUUGCUUUUCUGAUGUUAGCGGCUGACGGGUGAGUAACACGUGGAUCACCUACCUCUUAUACUGGGAUAACUUCGUGAAACCGGUGCUACUACCAGAUAAUAUUUUGUACCGCAUGGUUCAAGAGUGAUAGACGGUCUUGCUGUCACUUAUAGAUGGAUCCGCGUUGCAUUAGCUAGUUGGUAAGGUAACGGCCUACCAAGGCAACGAUGCAUAGCCGACCUGAGAGGGUGAUCGGCCACACUGGAACUGAGACACGGUCCAGACUCCUACGGGAGGCAGCAGUAGGGAAUCUUGCGCAAUGGGCGAAAGCCUGACGGAGCAACGCCGCGUGAGUGAUGAAGGUCUUCGGAUCGUAAAACUCUGUUAUUAGGGAAGAACACAUGUGUAAGUAACUGUGCACAUCUUGACGGUACCUAAUCAGAAAGCAACGGCUAACUACGUG